rnacentral:lncRNA from 1 species
AAGAAAAACUUUUAAAAGGUACUAAAAAGAAUUUGUUUUUUGAAUUUUGGUCCUAAUAUAGUAAAGGAAAUAUAAAAAUAAUUUUUAUUUAAGUCCUAGAUAUUUAUUUCCUAAAGGAAAAAUCACCUCCAAAAUACUUUUUUUUCAUUCCUACAAUUAGUAUUCUAAAGAAGAUUCCUAACGGAAAUAUGAAACGCAAAUUUUGUUUUUUUUGGAUUUUUAAUUCAUUACACACCCUUUCAAAUGCAAAAUAGAAAGUACAACAAUAAUACUAAAACUCGACAUUACUGUACAAAACUAAAAGAUAAAAGACGACAUAAAAUAAAAUAACAGACUUAAAACAUAAAAAGAAAAGAAAAUCUUCUUUUAAUCCACUCCUGAAUGAGCGAUCUUGACUAGAUGUCCUGGGGCUCUAUCCUGCUCAAACUCCGAUAAGUAAAUCCAUGCCUGUAUGAGAAAAUUAAAACCAAAUAGGUUAAAGACCUAGAGCGCUAUGUGAGACAAUAACCCUUCCUGUUAAAACAUGUCUGGAACUACGUCACAUAAAUGCACCCGCGGUCUUCGACAUAUUUUAACAUCGUUGAGAUUUGGAUUUGGGUCACAUAAAUGCGCACCCGAGUUUAGGAAGGUAAAUUUUUAAAAUAACGUACCUAAAGCAACUCCGCACUUUCAAGUUUGCGAGGGCCAUGGAAAUUCGCUAAAUGGCACGCCUCGAUGUCUAAGGAUUAAAACAAAAUUAAUUAAGCGAGGUCCAUGCAAUUAUCAUUUUUGUUUGUCAUGGCACACCUCGAAUCCAAUUUUUAAAAGAAGCUCAAUAUUAAACUCUAAAGGGCCAUAACUAUAUUUGCUAAGUAGGGCACACCUCAACUAAUUGUGUAAAAUUUCUUGUUUUUGAAACCAUGAGGGCCAUAGGCUAUAGGAUUUCAUUUGUGUAUGGCGCACCUCAAAUUAUUUUUAAAAGAAAAGACUUGUAUUCACAUUUUUUAAAGGCAAAUUAAAAAUGCUCCUACUUAUAUCUUAUUUAAAAAACUAAGUAUCACAACCAAGUCACGGGAACCGUACCCUUAGUUAUAAUAAUUUAAUUGUGCGCCGGGAAGUUUGCUUAUCCAGUCAGUAAAACAAAGAAUACAACGAUCAUAUGUAAGUUCCCAGGCAAACAAAUAAAGUGGAACAGUCGAAAUACAUAUCGAUAAGGCAUUCUAGCUAGACUCAUUCACAUAAACAAUUUCUUCUCUUUUUUUUUCUUGAAGUCCAACUCCAGAAAAGGACAAUUCUGUGAAAGUUAAAUAAGUGGGACAAUUACAAGCAGGAAAGAGAGAAGAAAGACAGUCAAAUACGAGCUGGGAAAUGAGUAUGCCAGCAGCGUGGAAAAAAAGAAAAUACAAGAGACCACUCUUGCCACGCUGAAUUCUACAUCCACAAGAUACGCUUACAGUAAAAUCAUAUUAGUUUGAAACAACAAAUCCUAGUUAUCUUAGGUGCAUUGCUCAAAAGCUCUUUUAUCACAUGAGAAUAGAAAUAUCAAUAUUUUCAAGGUCAAAGAACCAGAUACCACACAUCUGAUUACUCGUAUUAAGCAAAUUCAUUCUUGUCCUCCUUAUCAAUUAUCUAGAUUUGAGUCAACUAAUAUUCAGCCAUCAAUGUAGUAAACCAACAAUUUUUCAUUCGGUCAAAUUAAAACAAUCAACUAUGUUAAACAAAUAAUUUCACAUACAAGAAUCACAAUAGAAUUAUUAAAAUUAAGAACAAGAGAGGGAUAAACCUUUAUUGCUGCAAUUUUCUGCCAGGUACAACGAAAUAGGAUCUCAAAAUCAGCCAACCAAACAAAUGAACUUUUUGAUCUAAACCUCGAUGAAUCCGCCGUUUUCUCUGUAGCUGAGCUUUUCCAAUUAUAAAUUUCUUCCAAACAGAAUACGCAAGAGAUGCCGACAGAAACUCGAACUAUGAGCGACAACCUCGACGAACUCGACUCAACCCAGCCUUCUCAUUUUUUAAUUCAGAUCUGGUCGUUCCCCACUUCGUAUGUGUGUGCGUUUGUACCUGGGCAUUCUUUAUGGUAGGGGGCAGGCUCGUUCUCUCUGCUUUCUGAUGGGCUGUGGCUGAAGGGUGAGGGAUUUUUGGUUUGGUUGUUGAUGAAGAAGAUCGAUGGGGGAGGGUCUGUGGUUUUCGCUAGUUUUCAAUUGAAGAAGAAGAAGCAGGACGAUAGGGUUUCUGUGUAUUUGUUGAAGAAUCGACCCUUCCAAAAGUGUGUCCCCCUCUAUUUAGGCAUUAGGUACUAUUAUAUAGGGGUAGAUAUUAGGUAAGGGGUAUGGGCCUAGGAAUUAUGGGUUAGGUCCAAAAUGUCACGACCCAAUUCC